rnacentral:rRNA from 1 species
AUGUUAAACGGCCGCGGUAUUUUGACCGUGCAAAGGUAGCGUAAUCACUUGUCUUUUAAAUGAAGACCCGUAUGAAUGGUAGAACGAGGGCUUAACUGUCUCCCCUUUCAAGUCAAUGAAAUUGAUCUCUCCGUGCAGAAGCGGACAUAAACAUACAAGACGAGAAGACCCUUUGGAGCUUAAGAUAAAAGAUCAACUAUGUCAAUANNNCCUAAACCAAAUAAACACUGAUCUCUAUCUUCGGUUGGGGCGACCACGGGAGAAAAAGAAGCUCCCACGAGGACUGGGUGUUACCCUAAAACCAAGAGAGACAUCUCUAAGCCACAGAAAUUCUGACCUUUAUGAUCCGACCAAAAUCGAUCAACGAACCAAGUUACCCUAGGGAUAACAGCGCAAUCCCCUUCCAGAGCCCAUAUCGACAAGGGGGUUUACGACCUCGAUGUUGGAUCAGGACAUCCUAAUGGUGCA